rnacentral:tRNA from 1 species
UAGCUCAGUUGGUGGAGCACAAGGUUUUAAACCUUGAGGUUGGGGGUUGAGCCCUA